rnacentral:rRNA from 1 species
CCUACGGGCGGCUGCAGUGGGGAAUAUUGGACAAUGGGGGGAACCCUGAUCCAGCCAUGCCGCGUGUGUGAAGAAGGCCCUCGGGUUGUAAAGCACUUUCAGUGAGGAAGAACGCCUGGUGGUUAAUACCCAUCAGGAAAGACAUCACUCACAGAAGAAGCACCGGCUAACUCCGUGCCAGCAGCCGCGGUAAUACGGAGGGUGCGAGCGUUAAUCGGAAUUACUGGGCGUAAAGCGCGCGUAGGUGGCUUGAUAAGCCGGUUGUGAAAGCCCCGGGCUCAACCUGGGAACGGCAUCCGGAACUGUCAAGCUAGAGUGCAGGAGAGGAAGGUAGAAUUCCCGGGGGAGCGGUGAAAUGCGUAGAGAUCGGGAGGAAUACCAGUGGCGAAGGCGGCCUUCUGGACUGACACUGACACUGAGGUGCGAAAGCGUGGGUAGCAAACAGGAUUAGAUACCCUAGUAGUC